AAUGUAAAAUGGGGAGGGAGGAGGAAGGGAGAAAAAAAAUCAUGAAGAAAAUGUUGAAAGCUUGCUUUUACAAAUACCUGAAUAGUAUGUCAGGUAACAGGAAAGUUGAAGCCAGAAGUUUGCAUGCUUCUCAGCAUCAGCCUUCUGGAAAAUUUGGCACUUCAUGAAGCGUUAAAUGCAGAUACUUGAACAAAAUGUUUGUCUGGACACUUUUAAUUUAGGAAGAUACAAGUCAUAAAAGAAAUCUUAGGAGAUUUUUGAGAAAUUCUGUUGUGUUUAAAAAUAUUCACUUCCCCCUCUGCUGUUACUCUUGCUUUUAGAUUAGUGUCAAGGAAAGCCUUCUGCAAUUUCAACAACGGCCCUAAUCCUGUAAUCAGAUCCAGGCACAGAUUGUUGAGUUCAGUGAAAUUCUAUGUGGGUUUAGUGAAUAUAAAUCAAAUUGCAGGAUUACAGACUUAUUUUUCAAUAUUUAGAAUUUUUUGCUUUUUGCACUCAGUCUGAAAAAUGGAAAUAGAUGAGUCAGCUUUGCCUUCUGGGAUGUCUGGAUUGUGAGCAACCAAAGAGAAAGUAUUAAUCCAAAUGCACAUUUUAAAGGUUACUUUCUUGCAGAAAUUAAGUUCCUUGUCAAUUAACACUGGUGAGUAGGAGGACAUUCCUAUUUGGCUGUCUAGUUGCAUGUAUUCUGACUCUCACUUUCAGCAAAAGACUUUGACAGGUGUUAUUCACAUCUCUUCCAUCAGGUGUUCAAAAUAAUCUUGAAACAACUUCUGGGUUUUGGGAUUUCAUAAUUUACACAGCACGUAAACUUGCUACUUGAGUAUUUUCACACCUCUUAGGACUUACCCUUGAACUAAUUUCAAUACUAAAAUUCCCCUUCUCUUUCCAUUGAUUAUAAUAAUUCUUAAUGUUGUAUAAAGCUUUAAAUGGCAACUGCUUUUAACCUCAAGGUGACGUGCAUUUCAGUGAGCACUGAAGUGAUCUUAAUGACUUACUUUCACAAUAUAAAGUAGUUAGAAGAGCAUCAGUCCAGUAAAUAGCACUUCGAAGUCUUAACUGAGGUAGGUAUAAUUUUUCUGGGACAACCUAAGCUAGAAAAGACGAUAAACCUGCAUGCUUUUUUAAAAUGAGACUUGCAGAGCAACCAGUUGGUAGCUAUGAGUAGGAGUUUGCAAGCAUAUGGAGUGUAAUGACAAACGAAGUGUGAUGCGAACGGAGUUAUGUACAUUAGAAGUAAGCUUCAGAUUACUCCCACACAUUAAUGAGUAUCUAGGCUAGGUCCUGCAGAAAGCUUAAACUUUGAUACCAGACCUCCAUGGGACUUAUCUGAGAAGCUAACAAUCAAAUCAUGUUGGCUUUUAUGAAAAAAGCUAGAGAAAAAUGAUGUGAUAGUAGAUACUCAGGUAAGCCCCACCUUACCCGCAGUGAAAGCCAUAAAGGAAAGGUGUAUAAUAAUGACAAGAUGUGUGUGAUAUUGAAGUAUUGCAGUCAGUGAUUUGACAAUCACAAAAUAGAACAAAGAGAAGACUGCCUGAACACUCAGUGACAACAUUAUGCUUCCAUAUGAAAACAAAUUCAUUCACUUUGGGGAGAGAUGAAUGAUAGGGAUGUGAUAGUAGCAAUAUAAAGAGAAGAGUCUAGAGAAAGUAAAUUCGGAUGUGGAAUUGCUCUUUUCACCAUCCAAGGGCAAAGAUAUCCAAUGAAGUGAAAGGCAACAAAUUGAAACCAAACAGAAAAUAUUUCUCUUAUGGAAAACUUAACCACAGAGAUCUUUGCUGGGUAUUCCUUGAGGUCAUGAGAUU